rnacentral:rRNA from 1 species
GACGAACGCUGGCGGCGUGCUUAACACAUGCAAGUCGAACGGAAAGGCCCUGCUUGCAGGGUACUCGAGUGGCGAACGUGUGAGUAACACGUGGGUGAUCUGCCCUGCACUUCGGGAUAAGCCUGGGAAACUGGGUCUAAUACCGGAUAUGACCUUCCAUGUAGUGUGGGGGGUGGAAAGAUUUAUCGGUGUGGGAUGAGCCCGCGGCCUAUCAGCUUGUUGGUGGGGUAAUGGCCUACCAAGGCGUCGACGGGUAGCCGGCCUGAGAGGGUGGACGGCCACAUUGGGACUGAGAUACGGCCCAGACUCCUACGGGAGGCAGCAGUGGGGAAUAUUGCACAAUGGGCGGAAGCCUGAUGCAGCGACGCCGCGUGGGGGAUGACGGCCUUCGGGUUGUAAACCUCUUUCGACAGGGACGAAGCUUCGGUGACGGUACCUGUAUAAGAAGCACCGGCUAACUACGUG